AACGAACGCUGGCGGCGCGCCUAAUACAUGCAAGUCGAGCGAGAAGACGUAGCAAUACGUCUGUAAAGCGGCGAACGGGUGAGGAAUACAUGGGUAACCUACCCUCGAGUGGGGAAUAACUAGCCGAAAGGUUAGCUAAUACCGCGUACGCUCCUUGGACUUCGGUUCAGGGAGGAAAGCGAUACCGUGGGUAUCGCGCUCUUGGAUGGGCUCAUGUCCUAUCAGCUUGUUGGNGAGGU
rnacentral:rRNA from 1 species